UUUACACUCAGCUGGAUCAUUGGACAACCUAAUAAUUACUUUUGGAAUGAAAACUGUGGGUAUAUAAAUAAUGGUGCGGUUGGUGAUGCACAGUGUUCAGACAAAAAGCCUUUUUUCUGUUACUCAGUAAAACAACAAAUCUUGAAGAUGAAAGUAAAGUUCAAUCAGAAUUUAAAUGAUUAUGCAACAAUUACGGCCAUCUUGGAGCAACUCAAACAGAAACUGGAUAAUUGGACGAAAAAGAACAUCACAGUAAAAUGGAGAGAGCUACAAGAUGGAAAUGUGUUUUACAAGGAGAUGGAAAAAUCACUGGAGUAAACAAAGGAGAGCUUUUUAGGUUGUUGUGAUCCUGAGAUCAGACUCAUGUUUACAUACAUCCAAUACUUUAUUUUUUCCUGUAGUGGUCUUCCUUUCCCCGAACCAUUCGCUCUCCCACAGUUAUUGUUUAAGGAAAUAUUUGAUGUUAAUUGUUGGACAAUGAGUGUCAUGCUGAUUACAAAAGCUGUGAAUAGAUUUUUUUGCAGAGUUUUUACAGUAAAGAUUGUUACAGACAUUAAAAUUGUAGUGUCAGGUCAAAGUGCACGUCAGACUGCAACAGUCUUCAUCACCAUGCACAGUCAAUGAAUUCUAUAUUCUAUAUAUUCUAUAUCUAAUCUGAAAUAGAAUGGUUAGUUAAUGCUUAUAGUGAAAGCAA